AAAUUAUUUAACAAACAGCACAUUUUUAGCAGCGAUUUUUGUUGAUCCUCGAUACCAGUGUUUAUUAACUCCUGAACAACAACAAAUAGCUAUAAUUCGUCUUGUCGAAACAUGGGAGACAUUACUAGAAUAGAGACUCUCCUAUUGACGAAUUUCCAGAAGCUACCGAUAAUGAUGAAUCAACCAUUGAGAGUACUAUCGAAAGUAGCCAAGACUCUACAGAUCCAUUUGAAGAUUUUUUAUCAUCGCAAUCUUCUCUUAAAUCAAAUUCAUCUGCCUCGUCCUUAACAGUAGCUUCCCUAAGUACAUUAAAUAUGUUGAAUGGUUUUAAAAAUGUUGAGCGCAUUUCAUAUACUGCCGAUAUUUUGCAAUAUUGGAAAACACGACAAUUAACAGAUCCACAACUUUAUCAAUUGGCAAGUGUAGUCUUAGCAGUUCCAGCGACUCAGGUCAGUGUAGAAAGGAGCUUUUCUGGAUUAAAAUUUGUUGUUUCUGAUUUGAGAA